rfam:Streptomyces niveus NCIMB 11891 chromosome, whole genome shotgun sequence.
CUUCAACGACCCGAGCCACAGCGGUUCUUCACGGUUCUGGCCGUAGGUGGCCAGCAGGGCCUGGGCCUC